rnacentral:rRNA from 1 species
UACGAAGGGGGCUAGCGUUGCUCGGAAUCACUGGGCGUAAAGGGUGCGUAGGCGGGUCUUUAAGUCAGGGGUGAAAUCCUGGAGCUCAACUCCAGAACUGCCUUUGAUACUGAGGAUCUUGAGUUCGGGAGAGGUGAGUGGAACUGCGAGUGUAGAGGUGAAAUUCGUAGAUAUUCGCAAGAACACCAGUGGCGAAGGCGGCUCACUGGCCCGAUACUGACGCUGAGGCACGAAAGCGUGGGGAGCGAACGGG